GAGGACCGAACCGACUAAUGUUGAAAAAUUAGCGGAUGACCUGUGGCUGGGGGUGAAAGGCCAAUCAAACCGGGAGAUAGCUGGUUCUCCCCGAAAGCUAUUUAGGUAGCGCCUCGUGAACUCAUCUCCGGGGGUAGAGCACUGUUUCGGCUAGGGGGCCAUCCCGGCUUACCAACCCGAUGCAAACUGCGAAUACCGGAGAAUGUUAUCACGGGAGACACACGGCGGGUGCUAACGUCCGUCGUGAA
rnacentral:rRNA from 1 species